rnacentral:rRNA from 1 species
GCAGUGGGGAAUAUUGCACAAUGGGCGCAAGCCUGAUGCAGCCAUGCCGCGUGUAUGAAGAAGGCCUUCGGGUUGUAAAGUACUUUCAGCGGGGAGGAAGGGAGUAAAGUUAAUACCUUUGCUCAUUGACGUUACCCGCAGAAGAAGCACCGGCUAACUCCGUGCCAGCAGCCGCGGUAAUACGGAGGGUGCAAGCGUUAAUCGGAAUUACUGGGCGUAAAGCGCACGCAGGCGGUUUGUUAAGUCAGAUGUGAAAUCCCCGGGCUCAACCUGGGAACUGCAUCUGAUACUGGCAAGCUUGAGUCUCGUAGAGGGGGGUAGAAUUCCAGGUGUAGCGGUGAAAUGCGUAGAGAUCUGGAGGAAUACCGGUGGCGAAGGCGGCCCCCUGGACGAAGACUGACGCUCAGGUGCGAAAGCGUGGGGAGCAAACAGGAUUAGAUACCCCGGUAGUC